rnacentral:rRNA from 1 species
ACGAACGCUGGCGGCAGGCCUAACCCAUGCAAGUCGAACGCCCCGCAAGGGGAGUGGCCGACGGGUGAGUAACACGUGGGAACCUUCCCUAUAGUACGGAAUAGCCCAGGGAAACUUGGAGUAAUACCGUAUACGCCCGAAAGGGGAAAGAAUUUCGCUAUAGGAUGGGCCCGCGUAGGAUUAGCUAGUUGGUGAGGUAAUGGCUCACCAAGGCGACGAUCCUUAGCUGGUUUGAGAGAACGACCAGCCACACUGGGACUGAGACACGGCCCAGACUCCUACGGGAGGCAGCAGUGGGGAAUAUUGGACAAUGGGCGCAAGCCUGAUCCAGCCAUGCCGCGUGAGUGAUGAAGGCCUUAGGGUUGUAAAGCUCUUUUGGCGGGGACGAUAAUGACGGUACCCGCAGAAUAAGUCCCGGCUAACUUCGUG